rnacentral:lncRNA from 1 species
UUGUUUGUUGGAGUGGAGGAGUCGAUGGUGAGGUGGGUGGUGGCGGGUAGCGGUAGGGAAAAUAGAGGGAUGGAAGGAGGGAGAAGAUGAAUGGUGACGAGUGGGCCCACGCCAAUUUUUGAAAAUAACUUCCCCCUUCAAAAGUGCAAGGUGCACCUGGUCAAAAAUCCCCCAAAAAUACCCAUUGGAAAGAUAAAAUUA